rnacentral:rRNA from 1 species
AGAGUUUGAUCCUGGCUCAGGACGAACGCUGGCGGCGUGCUUAACACAUGCAAGUCGAGCGGAAAGGCCCUUCGGGGUACUCGAGCGGCGAACGGGUGAGUAACACGUGAGCAACCUGCCCCUGGCUCUGGGAUAGCUCCGGAAACGGAAGCUAAUACCGGAUAUGACGUACGGAGGCAUCUCCUGUACGUGGAAAGAAC